rnacentral:rRNA from 1 species
AGGACGAACGCUGGCGGUGUGCUUCACACAUGCAAGUCGAACGGGGUAGCAAUACCCAGUGGCGGACGGGUGAGUAACGCGUAGAAAUCUGCCUUGAGAUGGGGGAUAACAGUCCGAAAGGAUUGCUAAUACCGCAUAUGUAUGUAUCCGGACACGGGUGUAUAUGAAAGGAGUAAUCCGUCUUAAGAUGAGUCUGCGUCCGAUUAGCUAGUUGGUAGGGUAAAGGCCUACCAAGGCGACGAUCGGUAGCUGGUCUGAGAGGAUGAUCAGCCACAAUGGGACUGAGACACGGCCCAUACUCCUACGGGAGGCAGCAGUGGGGAAUUUUGUGCAAUGGGGGAAACCCUGACACAGCGACACCGCGUGAGCGAAGAAGCCCUUUGGGUGUAAAGCUCUGUCGGCUGGAACGAAAAAAUGACGGUACCAGCAAAGGAAGCAUCGGCUAACUACGUGCCAGCAGCCGC